ACUAUGGAGAGUACAAGGACCUAUGAGUAAAUAACUUUGUUAUUGAAAAUAUACUCGUUGAAAUAGUAA
ncrna:unclassified sequences RAGATH-18 RNA